CUGCCCCUGCCCGGCCGCCCCUCGGCCCCUGCCCCGGCCUCAGUCGAGGCACCUGCCCCAGGCGUGGGCAUACUGGGAGGGCUCUUCCCGGUCCAAGCGCACUGCCUGUAGGGGCCAGCGGGGAGCAAAGCCUGAGACUGAAGGUCAGAGGCGCCGUGAGGCUUGGCUGUUUUAACCUGGGUUCCCAGCUGGCCCCUGCCUGGUGAUCGCACCACAGGAAGCCCAGGCUGGGAGGGGCGGGUCUCUGACCCCGAGCCGGAGGGGCCCGGCCUGGGCUGCGCUCCUCUUCUUGCUGUUUUCCUCUCCAGCGGAGCAGUGCCCGGGGCUGCCUGUGCUGGGGUGGAGAGGUGGCCCAUCCCUCUGCCGCGGUGAGGAGACUAAAGCUGUCAUGCUGAGGCUGUGUGGCCUUGGUGGGGGCCCCCAGAAGCUGGGAGAGGGGUCUCCUCUCGUCUGUUCCAAAGGGGCCCUGCCAGCACCGUCUCCCUUCUGUGAGGCCUCCUGGCACCCCCAGGGGCCUCCCUGGAGUCAUGUCCUAACGGGCCGUGUUGGAGACACUAAUUUGUGGGUAGGCACUGAGGCAGAAAGCCAGAGAACCAUUUUUGGAGCUGAGUCGGGGUGAGAUGGCACGUGACGGGGACCCUUUUGGGGGCAGCUGUCCCGCUUCCCCUAAGAGGCUGGGAACCGGGGUUGAUGCCUGCAGACUCCCUGGCCCAGAGGAGGUGGGGAGCACAUCACUGCUCCGGGGCAUGGAAACCUCCGAGGCUCGGCCCUGCCCAGGCUCCAUCGCCUUUUCCCAGAGGAGAGCAGUGGGGAGAGGCUGGGGCCAUCGGGGCCAGGGACAGGAUCCCCGAGCUCUAUCACUUUGUGGCUCAGGACCUGGAAGCUCUGAGGAAGAGGAGUGCGGUAGUUUUCACAGGAGUCUGGCAAGUGUUUGUCGAACUAAACAGACGAGGGUGCUCGAUGCUGGUGGUACGCCGGCGCCGUGUGGUGGUCCCGAGCUGCAUCCUCCCUGGCGCUCCCAUCCCAGUCUUUCUGUCCUUAGUUGCGAUGUCCCUUUCCACCCCAUGAAGCGAAGUCUGGGGGCCAGGGGAGGGAGUGAGAGGGAGAAAAUGAUGUCCAUAUUCUAGAAGGACAAAUUGAGUCCUUCAUAGUCCAGGGGGUGAAUGCUGGGAGGUGAGCCCCGGGGGGCUGUAAGGGUGCCCCGCUGCUGGGAGAUGAGGGCUGGCUCUGGCCCUCAUGCUUGCUACACCCAGGGCAGCCCCCCUUUUAACCAUUUUAUAUACUGGGGAUAUAUGACGUUCUUCUAUGUAAAGACAGGGUUCUGUGGCUAAAAGAGCUUGGAAAUGGUUUCUGUAGAGCCUUUCUCUGGGGAAGCCAAAGGUCCCUUUCCCAGGUUGGGAGCGCAGGGGGGACAGGCCUGCUGGAGCUUGACUGAUGCAGCCUCCUUUCCCAGCACCUGUCUUCCCAGACCGCUCACCUCUCUGGCAGGACUCAGGGAGAGAGGUCCAGUGCCGCCUUGGAAUCCAGGGAUCCCACCUUCCAUGCGGAUGGGAGAUUUCCCACCAUGCCCGGCACAAUGUCUCCAGAGCAGUGAAGUCUGCAUUGGGGUGGGAUGUCCUGAGCUGUCUUGUGUCGCCAUGGGGACUGAGAAAACCCCUCUCUUCCAAGGCUCAGAGAGAGCAACCUAGUCACAAACCCAGAGAAGGUGGAGAGCACAUGAGGGUCCUCUCUGAGAAGGGCACCUCUCCUCCUCAGCCAUGUCAGGAGGUGCCCGGUCCGGCCCCUCCCCCAGGAAGCCCAGCUCUGGCUGAGGACGGUGCAGCUUCGCUCCUGAUGAUAGGGGUGUGCUGGAAGUAAGCUCCUAGGACCCUUCACACAGGAGGAAAUUGAGCCCCGGGUGAAUGCCAGACUCAAGGGAAUGGUCUGCGGCGGGAGCAGCAGAGGAAGAUCCUUAGAAGCGGCCACAGAUUGGACCAUAGGAGGCACCAAGAAACUAGGGGUUCCGGAAGGUACCUGUGUCCUUGAGCCCACACCAGUGAAGACCACUUCACCUGCUUCCCCGUCCCAGAGGGAUAAGCACCCCUUUUUCUCGCUGAUACAUUCCAUGGAGCGCACGCCUGGACUCCCUCCUUCUCGGCUCUCGGGAAGGUCAGGAAGUCUUCUUUAUACCCAGCUGCUCUCCUUUGCUUUGAUGCUCAAGUCCCAAAGUGGUGCCCACUCUGGGCUUGAGGCCAGCCCUCUCUCAUCAAGGUUGGGAGGAGAGACUGGCCAUCCCGCAGUCUUUCAGCUUCUCUCAUUUUUAACUCUUCUCCCAAACUGUGAUCUCAGGGAGGCUCGGUGAGGCUCACCGGGAUUGGACCCUCUCCCUGGGUAGGGCCGAGCGGGGCACGCGGCACAGUCUGGUGGUGAUGUGAGGGCAUGACACCCCUUGCUCUCUUCCAUCCCACACCUGCACAGUGUACAGACAGCAAAUGCUUGUUGCCAGAAUACCCACAUUAGCCCUGAGUAGGAUACCCGAGAGCCGCAUGGUAUCAGGAAGCCUGUGGCGGGGGAACCUCUGUCCUGGGCGGCUAGUUGUGAAGGGCUGAGGCUCCUACCGCACAGUGUCCCCUGAGUGCUCUGUCACCCACUGCCAGGGGGCCAAGGGAGGGGCCGACCUUCCAUGCAGCCCCAGGCAGACUGUUUAUUGCCUUCCUUCAAGACUGCGGAUGAUAAGCAUCCAACUUGCCUGAAAGGUCGGAUGAUAUGUGUGUAGGUAUGGAUUCUGGUCACCCACACCCUCUCAUCACUGCCUGGGGAUGGAAGCCGGGGGCUGGGGCUGGGGGUGGCAGAGGGGUUAAGAGCAUGGACCUUGGCCACGACAGUGCAGUGUCUGUGUGAGAGCUAGUUCACCAGCUGUGUGUGCCCGGGCCGGCUGACUCACCCUCUGUGACUUAGUUUCCUCAUCUGGAGCUGGUCCCUACUCGAUAGGCUGGUGUGUGGAUUCACUGAGGGGGUGUUUGUGUAGGGUUUGGCAUAGUGUCUGGCCCGUGGGAAGAGCCCAAUCAGUAUUAGCCAGUGGUGUUAUUAGGGUGAACAGGGCCAAGAAGUGUUAGUCAUGGAAGUCUUCCUGGAAGAGGAAAUCCUGGAGCUAACAUUGGGAGAAGAGGAGGAACAUUGUUCCAUGAAAGGGCAGCCUUAGAGCUUCAUGGAUGGCGGGGGACCCACAGACGGCCGCCCCCCGCCUGCUCCCCGACGUGCUUAGGUGG